rnacentral:rRNA from 1 species
UGGGUAACCUGCCUCAAAGAGGGGAAUAGCCUCCCGAAAGGGAGAUUAAUACCGCAUAAUAUGUUUAAGUCGCAUGACUUUAACAUCAAAGGAUUUUCUUUUAGAACUUCCACUUUGAGAUGGACCCGCGGCGCAUUAGCUAGUUGGUGAGGUAACGGCUUACCAAGGCAACGAUGCGUAGCCGACCUGAGAGGGUGAUCGGCCACAUUGGAACUGAGACACGGUCCAGACUCCGUACGGGAGCAG